rnacentral:rRNA from 1 species
UACGUAGGCGGUCCGGUAAGUGGGGUGUGAAAUCCCUCGGCUCAACCGAGGAACUGCGCCCCAUACUGCCGGACUUGAGGGAGACAGAGGUAAGCGGAACUGAUGGUGGAGCGGUGAAAUGCGUUGAUAUCAUCAGGAACACCGGUGGCGAAAGCGGCUUACUGGGUCUCUUCUGACGCUGAGGUACGAAAGCUAGGGGAGCAACG